AGCUAUAACACUCUGUAGUGUAUACUCAAAUGACCAGACAUCGAGAGGCCCACCCAUGGAACGAAUGAGCAGAAGACACUGAGAACUUAGCCGGCUGCCAGGGUGAGUGAGCUACACACAGCCAGGGACCCACAGGCUUUUUGGCUCGGUGGCAGUGGGAGCCACUACAAUGUGCAAGUAUGUAGUGGACAGAUAGAAGAGAAAGAAGUGUGACCGUUUGAGCACUAUGAAGAGAGGGGAAACUGGAGAUGUGACAGUGGAGAGGAACAGCCCUACCACCUGAGGCCAAGAAAAGAAAAACCAUCACCAUCAUACUGGACAGAUGCUUGCUCAGCCAUGCUCAUGGCUGCUCUACUCACAAUAAUAGAAAAUGGAAACAACUUGAGUGCCCUUCAGCUGAGUACUGGACCAUGAAAA
rnacentral:lncRNA from 1 species